rnacentral:rRNA from 1 species
CCUACGGGAGGCAGCAGUAGGGAAUUUUCCGCAAUGGGCGAAAGCCUGACGGAGCAAUACCGCGUGAGGGAAGAAUGCCUACGGGUUGCAAACCUCUUUUUUCAGGGAGGAACAUAAUGACGUGUACCUGAAGAAUAAGCAUCGGCUAACUCCGUGCCAGCAGCCGCGGUAAGACGGAGGAUGCAAGUGUUAUCCGGAAUCACUGGGCGUAAAGCGUCUGUAGGUGGUUUAAUAAGUCAACUGUUAAAUCUUGAGGCUCAACCUCAAAAUCGCAGUCGAAACUAUUAGACUAGAGUAUAGUAGGGGUAAAGGGAAUUUCCAGUGGAGCGGUGAAAUGCGUAGAGAUUGGAAAGAACACCGAUGGCGAAAGCACUUUACUAGGCUAUUACUGACACUCAGAGACGAAAGCUAGGGUAGCAAAUGGGAUUAGAUACCCCAGUAGUCCUAGCUGUAAACUAUAGGAUACUAGAUGUUGAACUAGAUCGACCUGUGCAGUAUCAAAGCUAACGCGUUAAGUAUCCCGCCUGGGAAGUAUGCUCGCAAGGUGAAACUCAAAUGAAUUGACGG